rnacentral:rRNA from 1 species
AUUGAACGCUGGCGGCAGGCCUAACACAUGCAAGUCGAGCGGAUGAGUGGAGCUUGCUCCAUGAUUCAGCGGCGGACGGGUGAGUAAUGCCUAGGAAUCUGCCUGGUAGUGGGGGACAACGUGUCGAAAGGAACGCUAAUACCGCAUACGUCCUACAGGAGAAAGUGGGGGAUCUUCGGACCUCACGCUAUCAGAUGAGCCUAGGUCGGAUUAGCUAGUUGGUGAGGUAAAGGCUCACCAAGGCGACGAUCCGUAACUGGUCUGAGAGGAUGAGCAGUCACACUGGACCUGAGACACGGUCCAGACUCCUACGGGAGGCAGCAGUGGGGAAUAUUGGACAAUGGGCGAAAGCCUGAUCCAGCCAUGCCGCGUGUGUGAAGAAGGUCUUCGGAUUGUAAAGCACUUUAAGUUGGGAGGAAGGGCAGUAAGUUAAUACCUUGCUGUUUUGACGUUACCAACAGAAUAAGCACCGGCUAACUUCGUGCCAGCCGCCGCAGUAACAC